rnacentral:rRNA from 1 species
GUAGGUGGCAAGCGUUGUCCGGAAUUAUUGGGCGUAAAGCGCGCGCAGGCGGUUCUUUAAGUCUGAUGUGAAAGCCCACGGCUCAACCGUGGAGGGUCAUUGGAAACCGGAGAACUUGGGUACAGAAGAGGAAAGCGGAAUUCCACGUGUAGCGGUGAAAUGCGUAGGGAUGUGGAGGAACACCAGUGGCGAAGGCGGCUUUCUGGUCUGUAACUGACGCUGAGGCGCGAAAGCGUGGGGAGCAAACAGGGAUUAGAUACCCUGGUAGUCCACGCCGUAAACGAUGAGUGCUAAGUGUUAGGGGGUUUCCCGCCCCUUAGUGCUGCAGCUAACGCAUUAAGCACUCCGCCUGGGGAGUACGCCGCAAGGCUG